GACGUAGGGGGCGAGCGUUGUCCGGAAUUACUGGGCGUAAAGAGCACGUAGGCGGGAAGUUAAGUCCGUUGUGAAAGACCGAGGCUCAACCUCGGGGUUGCAGCGGAAACUGAUUUUCUUGAGGGCAGGAGAGGGAAGCGGAAUUCCUGGUGUAGCGGUGAAAUGCGUAGAAAUCAGGAGGAACACCGGUGGCGAAGGCGGCUUUCUGGACUGACCCUGACGCUGAGGUGCGAAAGCGUGGGUAGCAAAC
rnacentral:rRNA from 1 species